rnacentral:lncRNA from 1 species
UUGCUUCCGAGCUGAAGUUUGAUAAUGGGGCCAUAGAUUUGAGACAGUUUGGUAAAGUAUCGAUGCAAAUCAGGUUGGAGGAAAGGAAGGUUUCCUAGUAUAGGCAAGCCUGGAGGACCUGGUGGCAGGGGCGGCACGUUCUUGGUGAAUUUCUUAACCCACCAUGCAUAGCAGGCAAUGGCUAGUGCGGCUGCCAAAAGAGUUGCUGCUCCUCUGAUGAUGGCAUUUUCAGCGACUCCGUCGCUGCACCAUGACCGGCCCCCGCAGGCUAGAACAGCAAAUUCACCGAAGAGAUUUGGCAUAAAUAAUUAAUUAGUCGCACUGGAGGAAUGUGUUUUGGAGAUAGAAAGCCCAAGAAGCCAACUUCCGGGCUCUAGCUAUUGUGGAUAUACCGAUGUACUGGUCCACAGUCGUUAGCUUCAAGGAUUGCGUAUAAGGUUAGUUUCCGUUUUAAAGAAAGUAUGGACGCGUUUGGCAUAAGGAUGUACACUCAUGUAAAUCCGUUUAAUUAAAUUAUAUUACAGCCUUUAUUAUAAAACAAAUCAACAUAAUAUAAAAUUAUAAUAUAAUUAUAUUACAGUCAAUAAAUGAGGAUGUAAUGUGAUUACAUUAAAAAACUAAUACAAUCUCUGGUUACAACCUACUCGCAAUGUUAUCAAAAUUUAUUUGAUAUUUUUGUCUUUUUUAAUAAUUAAAAUUCUUAAACUUAAAUUUUUUUCACUUUAAAAAAUUAAAAAAUUAAAAAUAAAAAAUAGUUUUAAAUUUUUGAAAAAAAAUUUAUAAAUUUUGAAAAACAUAAAAAUAAUUUUUUAAUUUUUAUAAAUUGUAAAAAAUUUUAGAAAAAUCAAAAAUAUUUUUAAGUAUUAAAAAAUCUAGAACGAUAAAAAAUAGAAAAAAUUUUUAUUUUUAAGAAAUUAUAAAAGAUUAGAGAAUUCAUAAAAUAAAAAAUAUAUUUAGAAUUUUUGAAAAAAUAGAAGAUAUUCUUUUUUAUGCUCAUAAUUUUUUAAAAUUAUAAAAAUGAUUUCUGCUCUGUAAUUUUUAAUAAAUUUUUAAAAAUAAUUUUUUAUUUUUUACUGUCAGUUUUUUAAAAAAAUUCUUUUAAUUUUUUAUAUUUUUGGUUUUUUUUCUAAAAAUAAUUAUUUCCAUUUUUAAUGUUUUAAGAAAAUUACAAAUAAUAAUAAUAACAAUAUAUUUUAAAAUUUUCAAAAUUACUAACAAAUAAAAAUUUAUUUUUAAAUUAAUAUUAACAUGAACUUGUCCAAUGCUUGGUUAUUUGUUAAAAAUUUAUUGAAGAUACGAUAUCAUAUAAAAAUUUACAAUAAAAAAUACUAGUAUAUUUAAUUUACAUUUUAAUAUAGAGGGGCAAUUUAAAAAUUAAUAUUACAUUCUCAAUAAAAUUUUUGUAAACCAAACACAAUGUCAUUUUCUAAGCAUUUUAAUCACUCUUUCCUUAGUAUACCAAAUAUUGUAAUAUUAUCUUAUUAGCAAUGACAUCCCUUGCAAUCACAUUACUUGUAAUGGGAUUACAUUGUAAAGUACUAAAAGCAACCUAUUUUCAUUCUUAAUAUCAUCUUAGCAUCGGCUUAAUGUCAUGUCAAAUUGUCAAUUCAAAAAUUUUAUAUACAUUAUUAUAGUAUUGAUUAACGUCAUAUCAUUUUAGUUAAUAUUACAUCAAUUUAAUUAAAUAUUAAACUACUAAUUUUAAUAAAUUUUUCUAACAAUUAAUAUUAAUAAAUCUAAUAUUUUAAAAGAAUACAAAAUUUGAUAAUAAUAAAAAAUAAAAUUAAUUAAAAGUAAUUUAAAUAAUAUUUUAUUCCCAUAACAGAAUUUACUUUUUUCAUAUAUAUAAAAAUAUUUUUAUUAUCUCAAAAUAAUUAAGUAGAUGGAAAGGAUGAAGCUUGGGCUUCAGGUUUAAAAAAAAGUCUGUCUGCUUAACCCUACCAUAUUCUGUAGCUAGCUCCCUGGUAUAACCAGUAAUUAAUUUACCAAACCCAAUAAAUACAGCCUUUGAAAACUCUCACCAAGCAUGGCUUCCUUUUCUCUAAGUACACAAUUUAAGUAAUGGUUUUUAGGUCAAAUUCGUGAAUUUAUUUAUUAAAUAUAUUUAAAUCAAAAUUAAUUUAAAAAUCCAAAUCAAUAGAUUAAAAAAUUUUGUUACAUAAAUCAAGUACAUAAAAUUUUAAGUAAUCUAAUGUUUUAAUACUCUUUCAAAUAGACAUCUUUAUUAAAAGUUGAUGACAAUUUUAACCAUUCCAUAAAUAUUGAUAAAAAUUUUAUCUGUAAAUAUAAAUUUUAAUUAGCUUUUUUAUAUAUUAUUAAAUUUUCUCUUAGAAGAUCAAUUUAUNAAACUAAAAUAAUUAGUUAAGUUUAUUGUGUGUGUGUGUGUGUGUAUAUAUAUAUAUAUAUAUAAAAGGUUGAAUGAGUGGUUAUUGGGUUACUAGAAUUUUGUGUUUUUCAUAAUAUUGUUGAAUUGAAGUUUUUUUUUUUUAUGAGAUUGAUUUUGUUUUGUGUAUCUAAGAUCACUAUUAAUGAAAGGUCAUUGAUGAAAUUUAAAUCAGGUGGGGACAAAUAAAGUUACCAAAUUUUAGGUAUUUAUUUAAUGCUACUAAAUACUAUUAUGAAUUCGUAUUACUUAAACCAUCUUCGUGGCCUGAAGAUGGGUUAAUUCCCACAAACUCGAGUUGGAAAGCGAUUUUAUUAAUGUUGUUCUGUGGGUCAAUUAUCCACGACAAGUCCCUUGAUGUCUCUGAAUGUGGAUUAGGCAAAUCGAGAAUAUGAAGAAGAAAAUUACUAAUUGGUUAAUUCACCACGUUAACAGAGAAAUUAAGAGCAGAAUUAGCUAAUUUUUGUUAAGGGGCAAAAAGGAGGAAGAGGAAUAAGAGUUAAAAUUUUUUAAAACUAAUGCAACUAACAUUUGAUAUUCUUGUUUUAUUUCUAUUUAAAUUUAAAAUAUUAAAUAUAAAACUGUAAUGUAUAAAAUAUAAAUAGUUAAAUACGACAUAUAAAAUUUUAUAUAAUAAUUAAAUAUAUAAAUAGUCAAAUAAUAUAAAUAGAAAGGAGAAGAAGAAGAUGAAAGAAAACUUUAGUUUUUCUCAAUUUCACACAAUGAUGGUGAGUGAUUCCCAUCUUUUUUUGUCUAAGUUCACAAGCUCAUAAAUUUCUUUUGAAGAAUGAAGUAUAUUUCAACGAUGAGUUGUAGAGAUGUUAAAGAUUAUGCUUUUAUCAGGAAACCUUGCAAAUAAUCUAGAUAAGUCAUUAUCUCAGGUGACUUAAUCUAGAUAAAUUAGAUAGCUUCAUGUUUAGCCUUAAGUUCUUAUAUUUGAAAUAUGCUUUAUCUAAGUUUGUACAUAUCAGCAGAAUGCCUAUCAGCAUAACAAUAUAAAAUGAGCCUUGUAUAGCUUUGAAGAAAAUAAGAUAGAACAAUAAGAUUUUUCCAUUCUUAAACUCUUAACCUUUUCACAUAGUAUCAGAGCAGGUUUUGCCUUAAAAAUGGAAAAAUUUUCUGUCUCAAAGUUAGUAAAUUCACCUUCUAUAGACCCACUAUCACCUUACUUUCUUCAUCACUCCGAUCAUCAUGAAUCGGUAGUGAUAAAUCCAAAACUAACUUCAACCAAUUAUGUUCCUUGGAGCUGGUCCUUUCAAUUAGCCCUAUCCAUCAGAAACAAGUCUGGUUUUAUUGAUGGUACCAUACCAGAACCAGCCAAGGAUGAUGAAUCAUAUGUGCCAUGGACAAGAUACAACAAUUUGAUUGUUGCUUGGUUACUGGAAUCUAUUUCCCCUCCAUUGCUUCAACAAUCUUUUACAUGAAGUCUGCAUUAGAUAUUUAGGACACUUUAAAAAGAAGAUUUUCCCAGUCAGAUGAUGUACGGGUAUGUAAUUUACAAUUCACAUUUUCAAAUAUAUCACAAGGUACACGGUCUGUAGAUGAAUAUUUUACAAAUCUUAAUAGGGUUUGGGAAGAACUUAGAAAUUUUAGGUCAAUGCCUCAUUGUUCUUGUGGUGAAUGUAAUCAAAGAGUGUUUUAAGAAAUAUGUUCAACAGUGUCAAAAGGACAAUGUCUUCAAGUUUUUGAAUGGACUUAACGAGAGUUAUGUAGGUUUAAGAUCUUAGAUUGUGAUGAUCAAGCCUUUUCCUUCAUUUGAUGAGGCUUAUAACUUGAUCUUAAGAGAAGAAUCUCAAAGGAGCAUCCAUAUACAAUCACAGCCCCUUAUUCAGACAUCUGCUAUGGCAAGUACUUAUGUUGAUGGGAAAAAGAAAAAUAGGAGUGAUCUAUCAUGCGGUCAUUAUGGCAAAAAUGGUCAUACAAGAGAUAAAUGUCAUAAGCUGAUCAAAUUUCCUCCUGACUUCAAGUUUGCAAAAGGUAAAAAUAAUCCUAGGAAAUUUGUCAACAAUGUUGUUCAACAUUCACACACAAAACAGUGUGAACAUGAUACUGCUAGUACUAUGUCUCAAUUGUCAUUAGUCAAGGAUCAAGUUCGGACACUCAUGGUAACUCUCAGUGAGAAUGGUGGAACUAGUAUUGAUGAUGAUAGCUUUGCCUCAAACAAUGAACAACCAAAGGCCUUGUUAGUCAACUCCACAAUUGCAUGUUUGAUUUCUAACUCUGUUAGUUAUAUGGAUCAAAAUGCAAGGGUAAAUAACUCAUCGAAAAUCAUUCCUUCUGUCAUAAAAUUAGAUUCUUGGAUCACUGACACGGUGCAUCAGAUCAUAUAAUCUGUUCUUUAAGUUCUCUUACACAUGCCAAACCUAUUCAUAAUGCAUUUGUGCAAAUGCCAGACAAUUCUAGAGCCUUAGUAAGUCAUAUAGGAACAGUCAAAAUAACACCUUCCUUGACACUAAAUAAUGUUCUUUAUGUUACAUCAUUCAGAUUCAGUUUGAUAUCUGUUAGUAAAUUGACAGAGAAUGAACAAAAUUGUUUGAUUUUUAUUGAUUUUCACUGCAUAAUUCAGGAAAUUAAAUCAUGGACUAUGAUUGGUCUUGCUAAGAUGGAAGCUGGACUUUGUUUUUUGCAAGGAAAGCCUCAGUCAAAUGAUUCUGUCCAAACUGAUUUUACACAAGCCAUGAAAAAUGUUAGCAAAUUUACCUCUGAGCAGUUUUCACCAAUUUCUUUGGAUUAUUCUUCAAAUUUUUUUGGUAUUUGUAAUUCUAUAGUUGAAUAGUUUGAUAUUUGGCAUUUGAGGUUAGGACAUACUCCCCCAGCUAUAAUAAAACAAAUUCAAAAGGCCCAGCUAUAAUAAAACAAAUUCAAAAGGUUUAUCCCUCCAUUUCAUUUGUUGAAAAUAAUUUUUGUUUAAUUUGUCCAUUGGCAAAGCAGAAAAGACUUAAGUUUCCUAUUCGUUUUAAAAACACUGUCAUGCCAUUUGAACUAUUACACAUGGAUAUAUAGGGACCAUAUGCAGUAUCUACUAUAAAAAAUCAAUAUUAUUUUUUAACUGUAGUGGAUGAUUAUUCAAAAUUUACAUGAAUAUAUCUUAUGAAAGCCAAGUCAGACGUUUUGACCAUUGUCCCUGCCUUUUACAAUCUUAUAGAUACACAAUUCAAUGUUAAGAUCAAGCAAAUCAGAUCAGAUCAUGGAACUGAAUUCAAUUUGACAGAUUUCUUCAUUUCACAUGGCAUACUGCAUCAAAUGUCCUGUGUUGAGACUCUUCAACAAAAUGGGGUGGUUGAGAGAAAGCAUCAGCAUUUACUCACUGUUGCUAGAUCUCUCAUGUUUCAAGCUUCUUUACCUUUAAAAUUUUGGGGAGAUUCUAUUUUAGUAGCAGCACAUACUAUAAACAGAAUGUCUUCUCCAGUUUUACAAAGCAAAUCUCCUUAUGAAAUGUUAUUUAACAAAAAACUAGAUUAUUCUCAUUUCAGGGUGUUUGGAUCUUUAUGUUUUGCCUCAACACUUGUUCAUCAAAGGAAGAAAUUUGAUCAUAGGGCAAGAAAAUGCAUCAUGAUAGGCUACCCUGUGGGAAUCAAAGGUUACAGGUUGUAUGAUCUACAAACUCAUAAUGUUUUUGUUUCCAGGAAUGUCAGUUUCUUUGAACACAUUUUUCCUUUCAAAAAUGUUGAUUUUGCACCUAAUAGUCAUGAAUGUAUUCAAUUCUUUUCAAAAAUAAAACCUGGUUUUGACAUUCCAUUUCCAAUUUCUUAUUCAGAAUCAUCUGGUUAUAUGAAUUAUUACACUUCUAUGCAUUUUCCUUUUAGUGCAUCUAUAUCUGAUCAGCAUGUUCAUCACAUUUUCCUUAUGCAUUUUGAUCAUAUAACUCAACAGAUAAACUCUGCUAGUAAUGAUACAGCUGUUGAUAAUCACCAAAUUACUGUUUCUAAUCAUUUUGUAAAUAUGGACCCAAAUGCCUCUGCUCAACCAAUAACUAUUCUUUUUGAUGAUCCUACUUCUUCUUUGGAUUCCAAUCACCCUUCAUCACCAAGAAGAAGCACAAGGCCAAAACAGCUACCCAAAUACUUAGAAGCUUACCAACACACUCUUCAUUCAUAAACAAACACAGUGAUAGCACAUCCUAUUACCAAAUUCAUUUCCACUGACCAGCUUUCUCAACCACAUAAGGCUUUCACAACAUCUCUCACUCAUAUUCAUGAACCUAAAACCUUUCAUCAAGCUAGUCAACAUUCUUAAUGGCAAUUGCUAUAAAAGAAGAGCUUAAUGCCCUAGAAGAUAAUGGGACAUGGUCUAUAGUACCAUUACCUACUAGUGCUCACAUUGUUGGUUGCAAAUGGGUUUAUAAGGUAUAGUUAUAUGCUAAUGGUAUUGUGAAAAGAUACAAAGCAAGACUGGUUGUUAAAGGAUACAGUCAAAAAGAAGGGUUUGACUUCAAUGAGACUUUUAACCCUGUUGCAAAGCAGACUAUAGUGAGAACACUCUUGGCUGUAGUUGCAAUUCGACAAUGGCAUUUAUUUCAGUUGGACAUUGAUAAUGCUUUUCUCAAUGGAGAUUUAGAUGAAACUGUAUACAUGGACAUUCCAGAAGGGUACAAACCUAAAGGGGAAUAUCCUAAAACCUCUAAAUUGGUUUACAAAUUAAACAAAUCCUUAUAUGGACUGAAACAGGCUUCUAGGCAGUGGAAUUGCAAAUUUACUGAGGUUGUGCUAUGAUAUGGUUCUCAGCAGUCAAGGUCAGGCUAUAGUUUGUUUACCAAAGCAACUGAUAAUGGUGAGUUCUUAGCUCUCUUGAUAUAUGUUAAUGAUAUUCUAAUAGCUAGUUCUUCGAUGAAUUUAGCUAAUGAUGUGAAAUCUUUCCUACAAAGUAAGUUUAAGCUAAAGGACUUAGGAAGUCCUAAAUACUUCCUUGGCCUAAAAGUUGCUAAAUCAGAUGAUGAAAUUAUUGUGUGCCAGAGAAAAUAUACACUCGAUUUACUACAUGACUAUGGAUUUCUUGGUGCAAAACCACUUUCAACACCUAUUGAUUACAACCAUAAGUUGGUUAGAGAUGAUGGAAAUUCAGUCAUGGCAGAUUGUACAUAGUACAGGUAGCUCGUUGGCAAACUAAUUUAUCUUACCUUCACCAGACCUGACAUUGCUUACUCUGUACAAGUAUUGUCACAAUUUAUGGAUAGGCCAACUGUUGAUCAUUUGCUAGCUGCAUACAAGGUUCUUAAAUACUUAAAGAAUGCCCCAGGACAAGGCAUUUUAUUUUCAUCUAAAUCUACCUUACACUUGACAGCAUUCACAGACAGUGAUUGGGUAGGCUGUAGAGAUACUAGGAGAUCAGUGACAGGUUUUGGAGUGCUUCUUGGAGACUCACUUAUUAGCUGGAGGUCUAAGAAACAGCUUGUGGUUGCUAUAAGCUCCACAGAGGCAGAGUAUAAAGCUAUGGCAGUUGCUGCUUGUGAAGUUAUUUAGCUACUUGGUUUGUUAAGAGACUCUGGAAUUCAUCACACCAAAGCUGUCGACUUAUUUUGUGAGAAUCAAUCAGCUUUGCAUAUUUGUAAGAAUCCAACAUUUCAUGAAAGGACAAAGCACAUAGAGAUUGAUUGUCACUUCAUAAGAGAUAAAGUUCAACAGGGGGUCAUAUUGCCUCUCCACAUUUCUACUGUUAACCAAGUUGCAGACCUAUUCACUAAAGCUCUCCCACCAGCAUAGUUCUAUGGUUUAUUGAGCAAGUUGAGCAUCAUUGACAUCCAUGCUCCACUUAAGGGGGGGUGUUAAAGACUAUGCUUCUAUCAGGAAACCUUGCAGAUAAUCUAGAUAAGUCAUUAACUUAGGUGACUUAAUCUAGAUAAAUUAGAUAACUUCAUGUUUAGCCUUAAGUUCUUAUAUUUGAAAUAUGCUUUAUCUAAGUUUGUACAUAUCAACAGAAUGCCUAUCAGCAUAACAAUAUAAAAUGAGCCUUGUAUAGCUUUGAAGAAAAUAAGAUAGAACAAUCUGAUUUUUUCAUUCUUAAACUCUUAACCUUUUCACAAGAAAAGAGAAUAAAUAAAAAUAAAAAGAUAAAAGAGAAGAGAAAGAAAGAAGUAUGGAAACAUUUAAGAAUUAAGAUAAAGUUAGAAAAGAUUGGUGGAUACCAUUUUAUUUUUUUUUAUUUAUAUUAAUUAUUAAAUAAAUUUUUUUUGAGAGGACUAUUUUUUUUAUACAUAUCAAUAGAGUAAAAGAUGUCCAUUAAUUUCAUCUUUGCCAAUCAAGCACAUAGGCAGGGCUGACCCUUAGGUGAAGCCACCCAAGCAAGGGCUUUAAGCCCCCAAUUUGGGAAGGCCUCAAUUUUAAGGAAGAUUUAUAAUUAUAUAAUAAUUAUAAUAUAAUUAAUUAUAUUAAAAAUAUAUAAAAAUAAAAAAUAAUUCAUAAAAUUAUUUGUUCUUUUACUUUUUUAAUUAUGUGCCUAAUAAAUCUCAAUUUUUUAUUACUUUUUUAUUUCUAAAAUGCUAUUAAUUCUCAACUAUAUUCUCUUAUUUUCAAUAAACUAACAAUCAUAUGUAUUUAAUCAUCUUCAACAGCUAUUUUUUUCUUAUUUAUCUUAUUUUCAAUCAACGUAUUUAAUGAUUUCUAACAGCUAUUUUUUUCCUAUAUAUAAAAUCAAUUAUUUUUUUCAAUGUAUAAUAUCUACUUUUGAGAUAUUCAUUUCUCAUUUGCUCUUUCUUCCUUUAACUUCAAUUUUUUCUCCAAAAAAUACACAAGAAGUCUGUUUUUUUAUUAUCUUCAUAAAGUUGUGAGCCUCAUUUGCAGUUUGCAAUAAACAUUCAACAAUUAGGUACUAUUGUUCUAAUAUUUACAGAUUUUUUUACUUUAAUUUAGAUUUAUAUUAUAUUGUUAUAUUAUUUUUAUUUUAUGUGAUAGUUGAUUUAUUUGAAUUAAAACUUUUGAUUGUUAAUUUUAUACUAGCCAUUUAAAAAAUAUAAGAUAAUUAUAAUAGUUAAAUAUUUUAGAAUAAUGUUAACAAUUUCAGUAAGUGUUGUUUCAGGAGAAAUAAGUUUUUCAAAACUGAAAUUAAUAAAAUCUUAUUAAAGAUCAAUAAUGUCUCAAGAAAGAUUAAAUGGAUUGGCUAUAUUAUCAAUUGAAAAAGAAAUAUUAUAAGAAUUUGAUUAUAAAAGUUUAAUUAAAAUUUUUUAUCUCAAAAAGUUAGAAGAAUAAAAUUUUAAUAAUUUUUUUAAAUUUCAAUAAAAAAAAAUCUCAUUUGAAUAUUUUGUUUUAAACCUUUGAAUUUAUUGGGUCGUCCAUGCACAUAGCACAAACAUCAUUGUCCACUCCAAUACAAACAAUUCCACUAACCUAACCUUCAAAUAAAUAUAUGCAGAAGAAGAAAGAAUUCAAUCUUAGGGUCAGAAAAUGUUAGAAGAUUUUUUUUUUUGGUAUCAACUAGGUGUAUGAUUUUGAUAUUGACCCAAAAGGCCAUUGAGAAGUGGGCGCUCUGUAUCUGCAUUCCCUACCAACAAUCUUUCCUCAUGUCGCUGACCUCUUACACUAGCUGAUUGGAACUCCAUAGUAGCUAAAUCCUCACUUUCCUUAUAUAAUAAAUAAUAUUUUUUUAAAAAUUUUAGGGGGCUAGGCCUCCCCCAAAGCUACACUACCCUCCGCCCCUGAGAGAAGCUAACCAGAGGACAGGUUACACAGGGCCAUGCUCUGCCUUCGUUUACACAGGGCAUACUGUCAAGGUACUUUUUGUAAACCCCUCUAAUGAAAACGUGGGCUCUUAGAAAGUAUUCAUGUUGCUUUUAACUCCUAACUGGCCUAAUUACCAGCUAAGCAAGUUGCCAAGUUAAUGAAGGCUUUUAAUUUUGAGGCUUAAAUGACGGACCCUUGAUUAUGGCCUUUAUGUGUAUACCACCCCACCCUACAAAACCAUCGCUUUGUUGGUCCUCACCUCAUCUAGCAAAGACAGCAAAUUAUGGAGUGGAUCUUAAAAAAUAAUAAAGCACAAUUUCAUUGAAAAAAGACGUUGUUCUACUUUGGUUUCUUGACAUAUUUAUGUCUAAAUCUAUUUCCCGUUGAAACUUUAGUCCUAGUUACCGUUAGUUUUUAAGUGGGUUUUUCUUUUUUAUUUUCUUAAAUAAUUAUUUUCACUUCAAAACAAGAAAAAAGAAAGAAAAAAUGGUGUUUUUGUUAAAAUGCUUUGGUUGGAAUAUUCCAUAGGAUUUUAUUAUUACUUGAUUUUUUUUAGACUUUUGUUUUUUUACUUUAAAAUUAUAUAUGGGCCUGUUUGAAUUGUUAAUAAAUAAUUUUAAAUAAUUUAUUUUUUCUUUUUCAUCAUUAUGUUUUUUUAUUUUAUAAUUUAGUAAAUGUUGAAUAAAAAAUAUUAUUAUCAUUUAAUUAAAUUAAAUUAUAAAAUUUUUUGUAAUUUUUAUUUUUAAAUUAUUUGAGAGUAAUUAUAUUUUUCAUAUUUAUACAUAAUGGUUAACUAAUAGCAAUGAAUAGCUAAAGGACUUAACAAUGCAUUUUGAAAUAAGAUUGAAUAAAGUACUUCAAAGAUGUAUUGAAUGGGGUUUUUGUAUUUUACCUUUCAAAAAUACUAUUUUAAUUCUACAAUAUAAGUCUAUCAUCUCAAGUUACAAUUAUAUCAUUCACAUAUAAAAAAAGAAGAAUAAUGCCAUCAUCGGUAUGUAAAGGAAAUAAUGCCAAAAUCAUGAGGGCCAGAAGUAAAACCAAGUUGAGUAAUAGUUUAUUAUAUUAUUUAAUUAUUAUGUAAAAUUUUGUGUAUCAUAUUUAAUUAUUUAUAUUUUAUGUAUUAUAAUUUUAUAUUUAACAUUUUAAAUUUAAAUAAAAAUAAGAUAAAAAUAUUAAAUGUUUACUAUAUUAAUUUCUCUUUUCAGAUUUAAUUAAAGUAUGAAAAAAAUUAAAAACAAUUAACAAAUUCUUAAUAAAAAAAAUACAAACUUCACAUUUACCAAGCGAAAAAUAAUUCACUUCUAUUAACUCAAGUUUUACUGACUUUUAACUCAACUUUAUAAUUCCUCCAUUUCUUUUCGAAUGAGACCUUAAGAGUAAAGACGAAUGUUAAUUUUCUGCCCAAGAGGAAGAUACCACACAUCAAUGACCUUGAGUGCCAUAAUCCCUUUUGUCAUAAUCAAACUGGCAUGUUGUUAAGUUCCAAGUAAUGGUGCAAGACUAGAGCAUUCACAAAGGAACAUUUGGUGAUCAUUAAAAUUAAUUUAAUUUAUUAAAUGAAAUUAUCAUUAUGAUAUUAUUUCAAUGUUCGGUUAAUAAAAAUAAUUUUAAAAUAAUAACAAAAUGAUAAAAAUCUUUUAUUAUAACUUAAUGAAAAUUUUUAGGUUUUUGAAAUUCAUUAUCUUUAAAUAAUAUGUUAUUAUUAAAAUAUUAAUAUGCUUUUUAAUUUUUUUAAAUUUUUUCUUAUAUUUUCAUUUUCCUUUUUUAAUCUUUUAAUUUCAUUUUUUUUAUCAAAAGUUUUAUUAAAAUAUUAAUAAUAUAUUAUUGAAAUAUCAAUAUAACUUUUUUAGUUUUCCUUAUUUUCAUUUUUUCCCCUUCUUUUCCUUCCCCUCUCUAUUCGCCACUAGUUAAAUCUGUUGUCGCCAGUAAUGGAGCAUUGGUCUGGUGCUGCUUGCGGCCAGAUUUGGCCAUAAAAGCAUCAAUCUGACAUUAGCAACCAGAUCUCACCGUUGGAGCUGAUCUUUUCUCGCAACAGAAUUGAAAGGAAAAAAGAAAAGAGGAUUUGGCGGAGCUGACGAAGGAGGACGACUGCACUGGAGUUUUCUUCUUUUUUUUUUUUUUUUUUUUAUAAAAACAUACAACGGAGCUUUUUUUAGAGAGAGAAAAGGUGAGAGGCAGAUGAGGAAGAAAGAGAAAGAAAAGGAAUAGAAGGAAAAAAAACAUUUUAUAUGGUAGGGUUGGCAAUUCUUUGAAAUGAGUCGGAGCAUUUUUGACAAAAAAAUUGUUGGACUCUGUUCCGCAAGGAGCAGAAUAGUUAUUCUUUGGUUAAAAAAUAAACCAAACGAGAUAAUAAGGGGCUGUUUACUAAACGUCCCCUAAAGGUCUUAAUUAGCAAUCAAAGGUUCUAAGGUUUAGGGUUUAAAGUCUAGAGUCUUUAAAGUAAGUGCCCUAAAGGCACUUAACAAGCUAAGAUUUGAGGGUUUAGAGUUUAAGACUUAGUCUUUAAAGUAAGUGUCAGGGCACAGUGUUGGAGUUAGACACUUGCAAUGAAGACCAUGGCAACCCUUAUCCGCGUACUGGUAGGGGUAGAGUUAGGUACCUUUUAUGGAGUUAAAGAUGAAAAGUAAUAAAGAUUAAAAUUUUUUAGAAUUAAUAUGUUACAUUUAAAUAAUAAUAAUAAAAAGAUUUAUAAUAAAUAAUAAUUUAUAUAAUAUAUAAUUAAAAAAAUAAGAAAAAAAAUUUAUAAAAAAAUUAUACUUAACAAUGUUUCUUGAAUUCAUAAACUAUAAUACAUAAAAUAUAAAUAGUUAAACAUGGUAUACAAAAUUUAAUACAAUGAUUUUUUUUUUUAGAUUUGAAGAAAAAGGAAAUUUGAAUACUAUUUUUUAAGUAGGAAAAUCGUAUAUCAAUCAAUAAAUCAAUUGCUUGGAUAUAAAUUUAUCACCAUUGUUAAAUUUAUAAAUAGUUAAAUAAUAUAAAUAAAAAAAUAAAAAAUUUAUAUUUAUUCUUAAUUUCACAUAAUAAUGGUGACUGGUCCGUGUCAAAGCUCAUAAAUCUUUUUUAAAAAAUGAAAUGUUUUUAGGUGGUGAGUUACAUAGGAGCGAAUAAAGUAAAAAUAAAAAUGGUAUAUCCAGCAUUAAAUAAAAAUAAAUCUCUGCGUCUUUCAAGAAUCUCUCAGGUUCAAAUCGAAGAGGAUAUUCCCAAAACUCAGGGUCCCUCUGUAUCGCCCACGCAUUAAAUAAAACUCUGGAAUCUUUGGGGAUGGUAUAUCCAGCCACAGUGCAAGUCGUGCUAGGACUACGAGGUACUAGCAAGGGAAUAGGCGGAUGAAAUCGAAAGGUCUCCUUUAUUGCUGCAUCUAAAUAGACAAGUUGAGGAAGAUGAGACUCUUCUACAAUGUUUCCGGCUCCAACCACUCUGUCCAAUUCCUCAACGGCACUUCUCAGUUUAUCUGGAUGCCGCAGUAACUCUGUCAUCGCCCACUCUACAGUAGUGGAUGUUGUAUCCGUACCGGCGACAAUCAUAUCCUAGAUAUGAAAAAUGUUCAAACUUAUUUAGCAUAUGAUCAUUACAAAUAUUAAAAUUAAUUUUAAAUGUGUCAAAAAAAAUUUAAGUUGAAAUGAACUAAAAAAGAACAUACGAUAGAUAGUAUAAAGAACAACAAAAAUCAAAAUAACAUCUACAAUAUAUUACCAAAAAAAUACUCUUAUAUUUAUAAUAAUACUUUGACAAAAAAAAUACAAAUAUAUAGUAUAUUUUUGGUCAUUAUUACAAUCACACACUUUGUAAAAUGUACAUAGACCACGAUCUUGCUUUGUGUAGGACCUUUGUUGGUUCAACAAUAUAUCAUAUUCAAAGGACAACUAAGAUAAAAACAACAACAAACAAGAGGAGCUAAAGUCAAAAUAAAAAACAACCACCAAUUGUUUUUGUUGAAGAGUGUAAAGUCUGGAUUAGAUACAUACCAACAGCAGAGCCUUAACUUCAUUCAUGGAUAAUGAGGAUUUAUAAUCCCCUUGUUGGUUCAACUCCAACAACAGUUGCAGAAAAUCCUUGCUUUGUUCCUUGUUCUUGCCCUCUCCGAUAUCGGGUUGAUCAACCUUUCUUCUGUGUGCUAUCACUGAUUCCAAAAUCUCAUCCAUCCACUUCAAAGCCUUCUUCAUUCUAGAUUGAUAUCCUUGUAAAUCGAAGCGGGUAAGAAAAGGAAAGAGAUCAGAAAUGUUAGGAGCUCCUAACAAUUCAACAAACUCUACCACAACUUGCCUGAACUCAAUCCCAAGCCUGCUUCUUUCCUCUCCAUUCAGUGAACCACCCCACAGCAUGCUUACUAUCACAUUUAGAUUGGUAAGGAACAUUUGAUCACCAAUGUUAACUGGUGAGCCAACCUUCCCGUAAAUAUCUUUCACCAUUUCUCGAACCUCUCGUCGACGCAGCGCAUAGCAAUUAUCAAGGCUUGUAUUGCUCAUAAUUUCACGAACAACAAGCCUUCGCAGCUUACGCCAUUCGGGGCCAUUAGAUCUCCAUGCCAUGUCACAUCCACCAUACGUGCCGAUUAUAGCUACCGUAGGAGGGUCACGGUUAGCAAAGAUAGCAUCGUGGUCCUUGAGGACCUCUUUGGCAACUGAAGCUGAACUUACAACUAUGCAGAUCUUGCUUCCGAGCUGAAGUUUGAUAAUAGGGCCAUGGAUUUGAGACAGUUUGGAAAUGUAUCGAUGCAAAUCAGGUUGGAGGAGAGGAAGGUUUCCUAGUAUAGGCAAGCCUGGAGGACCUGGUGGCAAGGGCGGCACGCUCUUGGUGAAUUUCUGAACCCACCAUGCAUAGCAGGCAAUGGCUAGUGCGGCUGCCAAAAGAGUUGCUGCCUCUCUGAUGAUGGUAUGCUCAGCG